rnacentral:rRNA from 1 species
CAUACCUAAAACGUUGCUUCGGCGGGAACAGACGGCCCUGUAACAACGGGCCGCCCCCGCCAGAGGACCCCUAACUCUGUUUUUAUAAUGUUUUUCUGAGUAAACAAGCAAAUAAAUUAAAACUUUCAACAACGGAUCUCUUGGCUCUGGCAUCGAUGAAGAACGCAGCGAAAUGCGAUAAGUAAUGUGAAUUGCAGAAUUCAGUGAAUCAUCGAAUCUUUGAACGCACAUUGCGCCCGCCAGUAUUCUGGCGGGCAUGCCUGUUCGAGCGUCAUUACAACCCUCAGGCCCCCGGGCCUGGCGUUGGGGAUCGGCGGAAGCCCCCUGUGGGCACACGCCGUCCCUCAAAUACAGUGGCGGUCCCGCCGCAGCUUCCAUUGCGUAGUAGCUAACACCUCGCAACUGGAGAGCGGCGCGGCCAUGCCGUAAAACACCCAACUUCUGAAUGUUGACCUCGAAUCAGGUAGGAAUACCCGCUGAACUUAAGCAUAUCAAUAGGCGGAGGA